rfam:Lentibacillus amyloliquefaciens strain LAM0015, complete genome.
UAAACUUAAGCAACGUCAGCCCUUCCUGCUCUGACGUCCUUGCGACCCCGAAGCCGCGCCAGUGAGAAUAAGCAUCUUCAAAAACGA